UGGGGAAUAUUGCACAAUGGGCGCAAGCCUGAUGCAGCCAUGCCGCGUGUAUGAAGAAGGCCUUCGGGUUGUAAAGUACUUUCAGCGGGGAGGAAGGGAGUAAAGUUAAUACCUUUGCUCAUUGACGUUACCCGCAGAAGAAGCACCGGCUAACUCCGUGCCAGCAGCCGCGGUAAUACGGAGGGUGCAAGCGUUAAUCGGAAUUACUGGGCGUAAAGCGCACGCAGGCGGUUUGUUAAGUCAGAUGUGAAAUCCUCGGGCUCAACCUGGGAACUGCAUCUGAUACUGGCAAGCUUGAGUCUCGUAGAGGGGGGUAGAAUUCCAGGUGUAGCGGUGAAAUGCGUAGAGAUCUGGAGGAAUACCGGUGGCGAAGGCGACUUUCUGGCCAUAACCUGACGCUGAGGUACGAAAGCGUGGGUAGCAAACAGG
rnacentral:rRNA from 1 species